rnacentral:rRNA from 1 species
GACGAACGCUGGCGGCGUGCCUAAUGCAUGCAAGUCGAGCGAGACUCUUCGGAGUCUAGCGGCGGACGGGUGAGUAACACGUGGGCAACCUGCCUGUAAGACUGGGAUAACACCGGGAAACCGGUGCUAAUACCGGAUAAUCCUUUUCCUCUCAUGAGGAAAAGCUGAAAGUCGGUUUCGGCUGACACUUACAGAUGGGCCCGGGGCGCAUUAGCUAGUUGGUGAGGUAACGGCUCACCAAGGCGACGAUGCGUAGCCGACCUGAGAGGGUGAUCGGCCAGACUGGGACUGAGACCCGGCCCAGACUCCUACGGGAGGCAGCAGUAGGGAAUCUUCCACAAUGGACGAAAGUCUGAUGGAGCAACGCCGCGUGAGCGAUGAAGGCCUUCGGGUCGUAAAGCUCUGUUGUUAGGGAAGAACAAGUACCGGAGUAACUGCCGGUACCUUGACGGUACCUAACCAGAAAGCCACGGCUAACUACGUGCCAGCAGCCGCCGUAACAC